rnacentral:rRNA from 1 species
CCUACGGGAGGCUGCAGUGGGGAAUAUUGGACAAUGGGGGCAACCCUGAUCCAGCCAUGCCGCGUGUGUGAAGAAGGCCCUCGGGUUGUAAAGCACUUUCAGUGAGGAAGAACGCCUGGUGGUUAAUACCCAUCAGGAAAGACAUCACUCACAGAAGAAGCACCGGCUAACUCCGUGCCAGCAGCCGCGGUAAUACGGAGGGUGCGAGCGUUAAUCGGAAUUACUGGGCGUAAAGCGCGCGUAGGUGGCUUGAUAAGCCGGUUGUGAAAGCCCCGGGCUCAACCUGGGAACGGCAUCCGGAACUGUCAAGCUAGAGUGCAGGAGAGGAAGGUAGAAUUCCCGGUGUAGCGGUGACAUGCGUAGAGAUCGGGAGGAAUACCAGUGGCGAAGGCGGCCUUCUGGACUGACACUGACACUGAGGUGCGAAAGCGUGGGUAGCAAACAGGAUUAGAUACCCCAGUAGUC